CGUCAUGGCGGAUCGCGUGGGGAGACCCUCGGGUCUGCCGGUGCCUACUAGCCGGUCUGUCAACCCCGCGCGGUUCGCCACCCUA
rnacentral:antisense_RNA from 1 species